CUUCGUAUGUUACUGAGUUUAGUUGACGGUAGGGGGCGCAACUUAAUGCGCUGAAAAUUAUGGAAGAAAAAAAAAAAAGGGAAAAAGAAACCAACAAAUAAUACAAUUUCCAUCUACCAAAUGCAAUCACAAAGCUUUGGUCGACCCAAGCCUAUAGUAGAAAACACUUACCCAAUGUGCCACAUAGUGGGACUGAAUGUGGAACCAUGUGGUUGGGAAGCAAGCUUCUUACCACACAGCCAUGCCUGCACCUAUAAAACAGCAUCACUGUCUCCACAGCAGGGAAUCGAACCCUGGUCUCCUGCGUGACAGGUGGAGAUACUUACCACUAUACUACCUAGGGCCAGCUGGAAGGUGGACAUUAAAUGAUGAUGAUGAUGUAAUAUGAAAUAAAUGGUGUUUGUAGACCAAAACAUACAUAGCUU